CUGCAGCUGGGGCCGGGCUUUAGGCCAUAGCUUGAACCAGUGAUUAAUCUGGCUGGAGCCACAGGCUCCCCUCGAGAGAACAGGAAUAACCUCUGGCUUAUAAGGUGCCUUCACAGCUGCUAUCAACCAUCCGAGGAUGAAUUGAGAUGAAUGGUUUCUCUGAAAUCUUUAGAGGGAAAUGCAAAC
rnacentral:lncRNA from 1 species